GCCUUCGUAAUGUAAUGGUCAGCAUGCUCAACGCAUAACCGAGAGGUCCGUGGUUCGAUUCCUGGUGAAGGCA
rfam:Stegodyphus mimosarum contig125116, whole genome shotgun sequence.